CCUACGGGAGACAGCAGUGGGGAAUAUUGGGCAAUGGGCGCAAGCCUGACCCAGCAACGCCGCGUGAAGGAAGAAGGCUUUCGGGUUGUAAACUUCUUUUAAGAGGGAAGAGCAGAAGACGGUACCUCUUGAAUAAGCCACGGCUAACUACGGGCCAGCAGCCGCGGUAAUACGUAGGUGGCAAGCGUUGUCCGGAGUUACUGGGUGGAAAGGGCGUGCAGCCGGGAAGACAAGUCAGAUGUGAAAUCCCGCGGCUCAACCGCGGAACGGCAUUUGAAACUGUUUUUCUUUAGUACCGGAGUGGUCAUCGGACUUCCUUUUGUAGCGGUGACAUGCGUAGAUAUCAGGCA
rnacentral:rRNA from 1 species